UUGGGGACAAAAGUAAAAUGAAU
rnacentral:piRNA from 1 species